rnacentral:rRNA from 1 species
AAAUGCAUAGAUAUUACACAGAACACCGAUUGCGAAGGCAGCUUACCAAACCAGCACUGACGCUGAAGCACGAAAGCAUGGGGAGCGAACAGGAUUAGAUACCCUGGUAGUCCACGCCGUAAACUUUGCUCACUCGCUGUUGGCGAUAGACAGUCAGCGGCCAAGGGGAACCGAUAAGUGAGCCACCUGGGGAGUACGGCCGCAAGGUUGAAACUCAAAGGAAUUGACGGGGGCCCGCACAAGCGGUGGAACAUGUGGUUUAAUUCGAUGAUACGCGAGGAACCUUACCUGGGCUUAAAUGUGAAGUGCAUUGAUUGGAAACAAUCAUUUCCUUCGGGACCCUUUACAAGGUGCUGCAUGGUAGUCGUCAGCUCGUGCCGUGAGGUGUCGGGUUAAGUCCCAUGACGAGCGCAACCCCUAUUGUUAGUUACCAGCGCGUAAAGGCGGGGACUCUAGCGAAACUGCCGGUGUAAACCGCGAGGAAGGUGGGGAUGACGUCAAAUCAGCACGGCCCUUAUGUCCAGGGCUACACACGUGUUACAAUGGCCGGUACAGCGGGCAGCUAGGCAGCGAUGUCAUGCUAAUCCCGAAAGCCGGUCCCAGUUCGGAUUGGAGUCUGCAACCGGACUCCAUGAAGGUGGAAUCGCUAGUAAUCGCGCAUCAGCCAUGGCGCGGUGAAUACGUUCCCGGGCCUUGUACACACCGCCCGUCAAGCCAU